rnacentral:rRNA from 1 species
AACGAACGCUGGCGGCAUGCCUAACACAUGCAAGUCGAACGAGACCUUCGGGUCUAGUGGCGCACGGGUGCGUAACGCGUGGGAACCUGCCCUUAGGUUCGGAAUAACUCCCCGAAAGGGGUGCUAAUACCGGAUAAUGUCUUCGGACCAAAGAUUUAUCGCCUUUGGAUGGGCCCGCGUUGGAUUAGCUAGUUGGUAGGGUAAAAGCCUACCAAGGCGACGAUCCAUAGCUGGUCUGAGAGGAUGAUCAGCCACACUGGGACUGAGACACGGCCCAGACUCCGACGGGAGGCAGCAGUGGGGAAUAUGGGACAAUGGGCGAAAGCCUGAGCCAGCAAUGCCGCGAGAGUGAUGAAGGCCUUAGGGUUGUAAAGCUCUUUUACCCGGGAUGAUAAUGACAGUACCGGGAGAAUAAGCUCCGGCUAACUCCGG